UUUAACCAUGCAAGGUCGAACGAUGAUGCCCAGCUUGCUGGGUGGAUUAGUGGCGAACGGGUGAGUAACACGUGAGUAACCUGCCCUUGACUUCGGGAUAACUCCGGGAAACCGGGGCUAAUACCGGAUAUGAGCCGCCUUCGCAUGGGGGUGGUUGGAAAGUUUUUCGGUCAGGGAUGGGCUCGCGGCCUAUCAGCUUGUUGGUGGGGUGAUGGCCUACCAAGGCGACGACGGGUAGCCGGCCUGAGAGGGCGACCGGCCACACUGGGACUGAGACACGGCCCAGACUCCUACGGGAGGCAGCAGUGGGGAAUAUUGCACAAUGGGCGAAAGCCUGAUGCAGCGACGCCGCGUGAGGGAUGAAGGCCUUCGGGUUGUAAACCUCUUUCAGCAGGGAAGAAGCGCAAGUGACGGUACCUGCAGAAGAAGCGCCGGCUAACUACGUGCCAGCAGCCGCGGUAAUACGUAGGGCGCAAGCGUUGUCCGGAAUUAUUGGGCGUAAAGAGCUCGUAGGCGGUUUGUCGCGUCUGGUGUGAAAACUCGAGGCUCAACCUCGAGCUUGCAUCGGGUACGGGCAGACUAGAGUGCGGUAGGGGAGACUGGAAUUCCUGGUGUAGCGGUGGAAUGCGCAGAUAUCAGGAGGAACACCGAUGGCGAAGGCAGGUCUCUGGGCCGCAACUGACGCUGAGGAGCGAAAGCAUGGGGAGCGAACAGGAUUAGAUACCCUGGUAGUCCAUGCCGUAAACGUUGGGCACUAGGUGUGGGGCUCAUUCCACGAGUUCCGUGCCGCAGCAAACGCAUUAAGUGCCCCGCCUGGGGAGUACGGCCGCAAGGCUAAAACUCAAAGGAAUUGACGGGGGCCCGCACAAGCGGCGGAGCAUGCGGAUUAAUUCGAUGCAACGCGAAGAACCUUACCAAGGCUUGACAUGCACGGGAAGCCACCAGAGAUGGUGGUCUCUUGGACACUCGUGCACAGGUGGUGCAUGGUUGUCGUCAGCUCGUGUCGUGAGAUGUUGGGUUAAGUUCUCGCACGGAGC
rnacentral:rRNA from 1 species